rnacentral:rRNA from 1 species
UACGAAGGGGGCUAGCGUUGCUCGGAAUUACUGGGCGUAAAGGGCGCGUAGGCGGACAGUUUAGUCAGAGGUGAAAGCCCAGGGCUCAACCUUGGAAUUGCCUUUGAUACUGGCUGUCUUGAGUUCGGGAGAGGUGAGUGGAAUGCCGAGUGUAGAGGUGAAAUUCGUAGAUAUUCGGCGGAACACCAGUGGCGAAGGCGGCUCACUGGUCCGGUACUGACGCUGAGGUGCGAAAGCGUGGGGAGCAAACAGG